rnacentral:rRNA from 1 species
ACAGUAUAUAAGAGUUUGAUCCUGGCUCAGAAUGAACGCUGGCGGCAUGCCUAACACAUGCAAGUCGAACGAAGGCCCGAUUUCGGUUGGGUCCUUAGUGGCGCACGGGUGCGUAACGCGUGGGAAUCUACCCUUAGGUUCGGAAUAACAGUUGGAAACGACUGCUAAUACCGGAUGAUGACGUAAGUCCAAAGAUUUAUCGCCUAGGGAUGAGCCCGCGUAGGAUUAGCUAGUUGGUGUGGUAAAGGCGCACCAAGGCGACGAUCCUUAGCUGGUCUGAGAGGAUGAUCAGCCACACUGGGACUGAGACACGGCCCAGACUCCUACGGGAGGCAGCAGUGGGGAAUAUUGGACAAUGGGCGAAAGCCUGAUCCAGCAAUGCCGCGUGAGUGAUGAAGGCCUUAGGGUUGUAAAGCUCUUUUACCCGGGAUGAUAAUGACAGUACCGGGAGAAUAAGCUCCGGCUAACUCCGUGCCAGCAGCCGCGGUA